GCACACGUGGGGUAGAAGUUAACCUGCCUCCCUCCCAAAACACAAUCACCGUCUUCGGCUGGUUGGUGUAGCGGCGAUAGGAGGAGACCCGGGUGCAAAUCCCGGCGUGCGCA